rnacentral:rRNA from 1 species
GACGGAGGGUGCAAGCGUUGUUCGGAAUUACUGGGCGUAAAGCGCGGGCAGGUGGCCUUUUAAGUCCUUUGUGAAAUUCCGGAGCUCAACUCCGGACAUGCAUAGGAUACUGGAAGGCUAGAGACUGGUAGAGGCGAGCGGAAUUCCUGGUGUAGCGGUGGAAUGCGUAGAGAUCCGGAAGAACACCGGUGGCGAAGGCGGCUCGCUGGGCAGUGGCUGACGCUGAGGCGCGACAGCGUGGGGAGCAAACAGG